AUUGAACGCUGGCGGCAGGCCUAACACAUGCAAGUCGAGCGGAUGAAGGGAGCUUGCUCCUGGAUUCAGCGGCGGACGGGUGAGUAAUGCCUAGGAAUCUGCCUGGUAGUGGGGGAUAACGUCCGGAAACGGGCGCUAAUACCGCAUACGUCCUGAGGGAGAAAGUGGGGGAUCUUCGGACCUCACGCUAUUAGAUGAGCCUAGGUCGGAUUAGCUAGUUGGUGGGGUAAAGGCCUACCAAGGCGACGAUCCGUAACUGGUCUGAGAGGAUGAUCAGUCACACUGGAACUGAGACACGGUCCAGACUCCUACGGGAGGCAGCAGUGGGGAAUAUUGGACAAUGGGCGAAAGCCUGAUCCAGCCAUGCCGCGUGUGUGAAGAAGGUCUUCGGAUUGUAAAGCACUUUAAGUUGGGAGGAAGGGCAGUAAGUUAAUACCUUGCUGUUUUGACGGUACCAACAGAAUAAGCACCGGCUAACUUCGUG
rnacentral:rRNA from 1 species